AUUGAACGCUGGCGGCAGGCCUAACACAUGCAAGUCGAACGAGUGGCGGACGGGUGAGUAAUGUCUGGGAAACUGCCCGAUGGAGGGGGAUAACUACUGGAAACGGUAGCUAAUACCGCAUACCAUCGGAUGUUCCCAGAUGGGAUUAGCUAGUAGGUGGGGUAACGGCUCACCUAGGCGACGAUCCCUAGCUGGUCUGAGAGGAGGACGAGCCACACUGGAACUGAGACACGGUCCAGAAUCCGACGGGAGGCAGAAGUGGGGAAGAUUGCACAAUGGGCGCAAGCCUGAUGCAGCCAUGCCGCGUGUAUGAAGAAGGCCUUCGGGUUGUAAAGUAAUUUCAGCGAGGAGGCGUUACUCGAAGAAGAAGCACCGGAUAACUCCGUGCCAGCAGCCGAGGUAAUUC
rnacentral:rRNA from 1 species